AUGCUACCAACCAACCUUGGUUGUCAUGCAAAUUCUGUCUCCCAAGUUUGUGUACUUAUAUGAUUUUUCCUCCUAUAGUUCAAUCGUCUUCCAUCCUGAAAAGAUGACAGGCAAACUACACCUCCUCCUGGUCUUGCUGGGCCUCUGCAGGGUGUAUGGUCAGAGUCUGGAGGCCAUUCCCUCCAGUCCAGUCCUGAAAAACCCUGGAGAACCUGUCAGCCUCUCCUGUAAGGGAUCUGGCUUUACCUUUGGUAGCUACCAUAUGGGCUGGAUAAGACAACCAGCAGGAAAAGCUCUAGAAUGGAUAGGCAUUAUAUGGAAUGAUGCUAGUGGAACUGCAUACGCAAAAAGUGUUGAAGGGCGUAUAGAAGUCACCAGAGAUAAUUCUAACAGCAUGGUGUAUCUGAAGCUGUCUGGUCUGAGAGCAGAGGACUCUGCUGUGUAUUACUGUGCAAGAGAGACACAGUGGUGUGAGUGAGUGGAGGAUCUGUAC